rnacentral:rRNA from 1 species
GGCAACCCAACUCGUGUAUUUUAAUAAUUGAUGCUGGCACCUUCGGUGUCCGGCGUUGUAACCUCGAGACGUGUUUUCCGUGCGGCUCUAUGGACAAGUUCCUUGGAACAGGACAUCGUAGAGGGUGAGAAUCCCGUACUUGCCAUGGAUGUACCGUGCUUUGCGAUACAUGCUCUAAGAGUCGAGUUGUUUGGGAUUGCAGCUCAAAAUGGGUGGUAGACUCCAUCUAAAGCUAAAUAUCGGGGAGAGACCGAUAGCGAACAAGUACCGUGAGGGAAAGAUGAAAAGCACUUUGGAAAGAGAGUUAAAAGUACGUGAAAUUGUCGAAAGGGAAGCGCUUGAAGUCAGCCAUGCUGCUUGAGACUCAGCCUGGCUUUUGCUUGUGGUGUUUUUCGGGGAGGCAGUCCACAUUGGUUUGGAUCCGCCGAAAAACCGCAUAGGAAAGGGACGCCCUCCGGAGGGGUUUAACCUUUUAGUGGAAUCCAACAACUUGACCAAAGAACCCCACGGGGCUUACGGGGCGGCUUCUCACACCUUCUCGCUUAUGAGACGGGGGUAAUAUAA